GGAACUAAGGAGUCUAUGGGGAAAAGCACAGGGCUACAGAGCUGCAAAGGUUACAUUUCCAUAAGAUAAGGGAGCUGAGAGUAGCAAAAGGUACACAUCUACAGAAUAAAGGGAAGGAAGCCCCUCCUUCAAAGAGGGAGG